UACGUAGGGUGCAAGCGUUGUCCGGAAUUAUUGGGCGUAAAGGAGCUACGUAGGCGGUUUGUCGCGUCUGCUGUGAAAUCCCGAGGCUCAACCUCGGGCCUGCAGUGGGUACGGGCAGACUAGAGUGCGGUAGGGGGAGAUUGGAAUUCCUGGUGUAGCGGUGAAAUGCGCAGAUAUCAGGAGGAACACCGGUGGCGAAGGCGGGUCUCUGGGCCGAUGACUGACGCUGAGGAGCGAAAGCGUGGGGGAGCGAACAGG
rnacentral:rRNA from 1 species